rnacentral:rRNA from 1 species
CUUGGGAACUUGCCUUUGCGAGGGGGAUAACAGUUGGAAACGACUGCUAAUACCGCAAAAUGUCUUCGGACCAAACGGGGCUUAGGCUCCGGCGCAAAGAGAGGCCCGAGUGAGAUUACCUAGUUGGUAAGGUAACGGCUUACCAAGGCGACGAUCUCUAGCUGUUCUGAGAGGAAGAUCACCCACCCUGGGACUGAGACACGGCCCAGACUCCUACGGGAGGCAGCAAUGGGGAAUAUUGCACAAUGGGGGAAACCCUGAUGCGCCCUUGCCGCGUGUGUGAAUAACGCCUUCGGGUUGUAAAGCACUUUCAGUUGUGAAGAAAAGAUAUUACUUAAUACCUGCUACCCGUGACGUUCACAACAGAAUAAGCACCGGCUAACUCCCUGCCCUCAGCC